AACGAACGCUGGCGGCAGGCUUAACACAUGCAAGUCGAGCGCCCCGCAAGGGGAGCGGCAGACGGGUGAGUAACGCGUGGGAAUCUACCCAUCUCUACGGAAUAACGCAUGGAAACGUGUGCUAAUACCGUAUACGUCCUUCGGGAGAAAGAUUUAUCGGAGAUGGAUGAGCCCGCGUUGGAUUAGCUAGUUGGUGGGGUAAAGGCCUACCAAGGCGACGAUCCAUAGCUGGACUGAGAGGAUGAUCAGCCACACUGGGACUGAGACACGGCCCAGACUCCUACGGGAGGCAGCAGUGUGGAAUAUUGGACAAUGGGCGCAAGCCUGUUCCAGCCAUGCCGCGUGAGUGAUGAAGGCCCUAGGGUUGUAAAGCUCUUUCACCGGUGAAGAUAAUGACGAUAACCGGAGAAGAAGCCCCGGCUAACUUCGUGCCAGCCGCCGCAGUAACAC
rnacentral:rRNA from 1 species